GUUGAGUCUCAGCUGAGCUCAGUUCCCACCAGGGUUCGAUCUAUAUUGGUACCACGUUAGGCUUCUUCCGAGCAAUCAGUCUCGAGGAUGCUUCUUUCCGCCGGACGGAUGUCUCGGUGCGCUUCUACUUCCCCUUGUGGAAUGUAGCAAUCUUCCCAGUGCUAUCUGGAGUCAAGUUCCCAGUUCUAUCUGGAGAAAUAUCUCCGAGGUCCUAUCCUCGUGGAUGUCGUCCUGUCUUCCACCAUCAUUGUGGUUAAGACCCAAAUGAGGAUAAACGAUUUUGAGAAGUCUUUGUAUUGAGUACUCAAUUCAAAUCUUGUUCAGAACUUUCGGCGAACAGUUUGUGGGCUUAAAGUGAAAUCAAAACUCAAAUAUUUCCCCAUAAAAUUUCAAGAGACCUUUCACAAAACGAAGAGUAAACGAAUACCCACAAGAACGAGGAACAGAAAAAAGUAACCGAACCAAAUAAGUUAAGAUCGAGAUUCGAAUUUCAGAUGAUUAAUCUUUACAUUUCCGGAAUGUGUAUCAAAGAAUCUGAAAAUCAUUCUAAGAAUCGAAUGUUACC
rnacentral:sRNA from 1 species